rnacentral:lncRNA from 1 species
UUAUACUUUUAUCGUCACAGUCGUUAAUUGCUUGAUAAUUCUCUAACCAAUCCAUCCCUAAGAUUAUAUCGAAUCCUGAAAAGUUUAGAAGGAUAAGAUCUAUAAUUAACUCCCUACUUGAAACACUUACUUUACAGUUCCUAUGUACAACAUGUGCUUUCAAAAGUCAUCUAGAAGGUGUUUCUACUUCUAUUACUUGCCUUAAAGGAUUUGGUUUAACUUUUAAAUUUUUUAUAAAUUCGCAGGACAUAAAAGAAUGAGUGACACUAGUAUCAAUCAAAGCACAGACAAUAGAAUUGUUAAUAGAAACUGUACCCUGGAUGAUGGUCGGGGUAGCUCUCGCACCAGGCUCGUCAAUAUGAAAAACACUUCCUUGUGUGAUGGGCUUCACAACAUCACGAGGCUACUGAGGGCAAUCCCUCACAAAAUGCUGAGUGCUUC